rnacentral:lncRNA from 1 species
GUUUUGUAUGCAUGAAUGAAAAAUGAGUUUAGAACUAGUUUGACAUAUUAUUUCUUCAUUUAAAAGUAUGUUUGUCUUUUGUUUUUUCAAUGGUUGAAAAAUGUAAAUCAAGAGUUGAAAAGAUGUGCAUGUAAAAGUUGUUUUGUAUGCAUGAAUGAAGAAUAAGUCAUGAACAAAAUUUGGGGUUUUUUUUGUUCUUUGUGGUUGGCACGGUUUUGGGGGUGGUUUUGGGUUGUGUUUGUGUUUUAUUGUAAACCACUCACACAUCCUUUUAAAGCUUGAAAAAAAAUGGUUCUUGUCACUUUUGUUUUUGGGUUUGAAAAAUCACCAAGAAUAUACAAAUCUUGAAAAUGUGUUCAUGGUUUUGUUCUUGGUGUUCAUAGUUUGGUUUUGGGUGAAAAUGGUUUUAAUUGGUUUUCAUGCAUGGUUUUAUGGUUUUGGAUGAUGUUCUUACCAUCCAUAACCAUAUUAAAACUUAUAAAACCCUAGACUUGACUAGGAGGAUUUCCAUCACCCAUCUCACCUAAGUUUUAAUGGCAAAACCAAGUGACAAGCAAAAUUUAAUUUUUUCUACAUAAUGUGGCUUUUAAUGCAUGUUGUGUAAGAUUGUGUAAGAGACCUCCCAUCUCUAUUAAGUGGCCGGCCUCCCCUAGUGGAUUUAUCCACUUGUGAGGCUAUUUUGUAAUCUUUGAAAAGUUGAUAUUUACUUUGAAAUAUUUACGGUUUUACCCCUAACUUUUCAUAUUUGCAUUUAGGCCCCUACUAACUAGAAAGUUAAAAUAUUUGAUUUUAAUUUUGUUAGUUGUUUAAACUCAUAAUACUAUUAUGCCCAUAUGCACUAAAUCUAAAUGUUUAUGUUGCAUUCCAUUAUGAUUAUUUAAAUGUGUUUAAGUAGUUGUAAAAUGGGUGACUAUGGACUUAUGCCUUAAACGAUAAUUGAGCUAUGAGAUAAGGCGCUAAAAUCAAAUUGUUUGAACCUUGGGAAUGUGUUUUAAUUACUGUUUAAUUGGACCUUGUCACGUUUGACGUUAAUCUAUCUCUCCCCUUUUUAGUAUAUGUAAUUUAUAGGAAUUUGUACAAAUCGGUUUGUAAUUCUUAUUACUUCUUAAUCUCUAUUCGUUAGUUGAUUCCCUCUAGUGCUAGACUAGAGUUUCUUUAACUAUUGGUAAGGAGACAUAACUAAAAGAGGGUUUUGACAUGAGAUUAAAGAUUAAAAGGGUCCAAUGCCCAAAUUAGCAAUGAAUGAUUGUCUUUCAUUUCUAAUGGCUCAAUGAAAAUGUUUUAAUUGGAUUGAUAAGCACGUAAUUAAAUUGACACAACCUCCCCGAGUUUAUAUUCAACAAUGUUGGCUCGUUGUUGCAAUAACCUUAUAAGUCCAUGGUCAUCCAAGAGCCUAAGAUAACUAUAAAGUCCAAAUUCAAAGGAAUGCAAAAACCUUAGUAGUAGUAGUUACUUCCAAUAUUUAAAAAAAUUCGUUUUUGAUAUUGAUUUGUUUUUCUCAAAACAAAUAGUGGGAGUAUCAUAUGCUACUAAA